rnacentral:rRNA from 1 species
GACGAACGCUGGCGGCGUGCUUAACACAUGCAAGUCGAACGGAAAGGUCCUGCUUUUGUGGGGUGCUCGAGUGGCGAACGGGUGAGUAACACGUGAGUAACCUGCCCUUGACUUUGGGAUAACUUCAGGAAACUGGGGCUAAUACCGGAUAGGAGCUCCUGCUGCAUGGUGGGGGUUGGAAAGUUUCGGCGGUUGGGGGUGGACUCGCGGCUUAUCAGCUUGUUGGUUGGGUAGUGGCUUACCAAGGCUUUGACGGGUAGCCGGCCUGAGAGGGUGACCGGCCACAUUAGGACUGAGAUACGACACAGACUCGUACGGGAGGCAGCAGUGGGGAAUAGUGCACAAUGGGAGGAAGCCUGAUGCAGCAACGCCGCGUGCGGGAUGACGGCCUUCGGGUUGUAAACCGCUUUCGCCUGUGACGAAGCGUGAGUGACGGUAAUGGGUAAAGAAGCACCGGCUAACUACGUG